CCCAGUUGGCCUUCCGCCAAUUCCACUUCAUCUUCUCCAAGCGGUAGCUGGGAUCUUCCAAUGGCCUCCGGCUAGCUUUCCUCCUCUCCAUUUGCCACUCUUCACAUCCUUCAGCUGUUGCAGCCGAAAGGACAGAGAGGGAGGUGGGAGGGAGAGAGAGAGAGAGAGAGAGAGACCGAGGGAGACACUGUUAACCAGGCCGGCUAAAGAAGGGAGGGAGAGAGAGAUGUCGGGUGCCGUGUUCAUCGCCCUGUGCUUGGUGUUGGGCCUCUCCGGCGUCCGCGCCGAGGACCCUUACCUCUUCUUCACGUGGAACGUGACCUACGGCACCAUCGCCCCCUUGGGCGUCCCUCAGCAGGGCAUCCUCAUCAAUGGCCAGUUUCCCGGCCCCAACAUCAAUUCCACCACCAACAACAACAUCGUCAUCAACGUCUUCAACAACCUCGAUCAGCCCUUCCUUCUCUCAUGGUCAGU
rnacentral:lncRNA from 1 species